GGAGGUAUAGCUCAAGUGGUAGAGCGCGUGCUUAGCAUGCAUGAGGUCCUGGGCUCAAUCCCCAGUACCUCCU
rnacentral:tRNA from 1 species